GACGAACGCUGGCGGCGUGCCUAAUACAUGCCAGUAGAACGCUGAAGGAGGAGCUUGCUUCUCUGGAUGAGUUGCGAACGGGUGAGUAACGCGUAGGUAACCUGCCUGGUAGCGGGGGAUAACUAUUGGAAACGAUAGCUAAUACCGCAUAAGAGUAGAUGUUGCAUGACAUUUGCUUAAAAGGUGCAAUUGCAUCACUACCAGAUGGACCUGCGUUGUAUUAGCUAGUUGGUGGGGUAACGGCUCACCAAGGCGACGAUACAUAGCCGACCUGAGAGGGUGAUCGGCCACACUGGGACUGAGACACGGCCCAGACUCCUACGGGAGGCAGCAGUAGGGAAUCUUCGGCAAUGGACGGAAGUCUGAACGAGCAACGCCGCGUGAGUGAAGAAGGUUUUCGGAUCGUAAAGCUCUGUUGUAAGAGAAGAACGAGUGUGAGAGUGGAAAGUUCACACUGUGACGGUAUCUUACCAGAAAGGGACGGCUAACUACGUG
rnacentral:rRNA from 1 species